AAACGUCUUUCUUGUUCAUAAACAGAUUAAGCAACACUUCAACAGAAAGGGCGAUGAACAGUGAGACCGAAGCCACAAGGACGCUCAGAUGAGCUGAAGCACUGCAUAAAGACACUCGCGACAUCAGUGGACGACACAAUGGCCGACAGGGAAGGCAGAUCCGGUGACCGGAAGACCAGGGAAAGACGCAAUAGGAGCAAGAGCAUGGAUGGACGCCCCAAAAGUAAGUAUUUGACUGAAACAGAACAGUUUAUAGAUUUAAAUUGCUAGUACUGCUUUUUCAUUUCAUUUCAUGGUGUGUGUGUGUGUGUGUGUGUGUGUGUGUUUUGCAGUGGACAGUAGUCCAGAUUUGGAUUGCCCUGACAGUAAGUCAAUUAACAGAAGUGUGAUAUAGUUUUAUAGUUUUGAUGAACUGUGACUGAUAAC
ensembl:lncRNA